CGCAACACCACCCUCUCCACCAAAUUCUUCUCAAAGUCGUGACACCACUAGGGAUUCAGCUUCAAGAAAUAAUUCCAUAUUUCCUCCUAUUGUCUGCCUCUGAACCGUGCAGCCUUGAGGAAGAACCAAGGUCUUGAAAACAACUCCUCUCCUCUGAUUUCCUAGCCGUGCGUUUGUAUUCGAAAAGGGUGGAGAGCACUAUUUCUGGAAACUUGCUAUUCUAGUGGAGCUCAAAGGAUUGUGUUGUUGCUCCUUGCCCUUUUGGUGUUCCUUGUGUAUCGUCCAGGGGUGCGCACUUUUCGUAAGGUGGUGGACUUUCUGCUGCUGCCCGGUAAAUUAUUGUGACGUGUGAGG